rnacentral:rRNA from 1 species
UAAUACGUAGAUGGCGAGCGUUAUCCGGAAUCAUUGGGCGUAAAGCGGGCGUAGGCGGUUCUGCAAGUCAGAUGUAAAAUCUCCCGGCUUAACCGGGAGGGAACAUUCGAUACUGCGGGGCUAGAGUGCAGCAGGGGGAAGUGGAAUUCCCGGUGUAGUGGUGAAAUGCGUAGAUAUCGGGAGGAACACCAGUGGCGAAGGCGGCUUUCUGGGCUGUUACUGACGCUGAGGUCCUAAAGCGUGGGGAGCAAACAGGAUUAGAUACCCUGGUAGUCCACGCCGUAAACGAUGGACACUAGGUAUGGGGAGUAUCGACCCUUUCCGUGCCGAAGCUAACGCAUUAAGUGUCCCGCCUGGGGAGUACGGUCGCAAGACUA